rnacentral:rRNA from 1 species
AUGUGCACCCUGGAGCAGCGCGGCCGCGUGUUCGUCCUCACCCUCACGGGCGACGGCGAGCACCGCCUGGGCCACCCGCUCAUCGCCUCCAUCCGCUCCGCGCUCGCCUCCGUGCUCGCGGCGGCCCAGGCCCAGCCCCAGGGCCCGGGGGCGGCCCUGGUGACCGUCGCCGAGGGCCGCUUCUUCUCCAACGGGCUCGACGUCGGGCGGGCGGGCGGCUCCCGCGCGCGGCUCCGGGAGCUCGUCGACGCGUUCCGCCCCAUCGCCGCCGACCUGCUGGCGCUCCCCAUGCCCACCGUGGCCGCCGUCACGGGCCACGCCUCCGCCGCCGGGCUCCUCCUCGCGCUCUGCCACGACUACCGCCUCAUGCGCGCCGACCGCGGCGUGCUCUACAUGGGCCUCCCGCUCCCGCCCUACGUCGCGCGCCUGCUCCGCGCCAAGAUUACCCAGGCGCACGCGCUCCGGGACGUCGCGCUGCGCGGGAGGAAGCUCAGGGCGCCCGAGGCCAGGGAGAUGGGGAUCGUCGACGCCGUCUGCGCCGGCGCGCCCGAGACCGCCGCCGAGGCCGUCAAGCUCGCCGAGCAGCUCGCGGCCAGGGAGUGGGACGGCGCCGUGUACGCGUCCAUCAGGGUCUCCACGUUCCCCGAUGCGUGCAGGGCCGUCGGGAUUGCCGUGGAGAGCGACGAGGAGAAGAGCAGGCACUUCGCUUCCAGACUCUGA